GAACUUAGCUUAGUGGCGGACGGGUGAGUAACGCGUGAGUAACCUGCCUUUCAGAGGGGGAUAACGUUCUGAAAAGAACGCUAAUGCCGCAUAAUAUAUUGGUGUCGCAUGGCACCGGUAUCAAAGGAGCAAUCCGCUGAAAGAUGGACUCGCGUCCGAUUAGCCAGUUGGCGGGGUAAAGGCCCACCAAAGCGACGAUCGGUAGCCGGGUUGAGAGACUGAACGGCCACAUUGGGACUGAGACACGGCCCAGACUCCUACGGGAGGCAGCAGUGGGGGAUAUUGCACAAUGGAGGAAACUCUGAUGCAGCAAUGCCGCGUGAGGGAAGACGGUCUUCGGAUUGUAAACCUCUGUCCUUGGUGAAGAUAAUGACGGUAGCCAAGGAGGAAGCUCCGGCUAACUACGUGCCAGCAGCCGCGGUAAUACGUAGGGAGCAAGCGUUGUCCGGAUUUACUGGGUGUAAAGGGUGCGUAGGCGGCUCUUUAAGUCGGGCGUGAAAGCUGUGGGCUUAACCCACAAAUUGCGUUCGAAACUGGAGGGCUUGAGUGAAGUAGAGGUAGGCGGAAUUCCCGGUGUAGCGGUGAAAUGCAUAGAGAUCGGGAGGAACACCAGUGGNGAGGGCGGCCUACUGGGCUUUAACUGACGCUGAGGCACGAAAGCAUGGGUAGCANCNGNAUUANAUACCCUGGNAGUCCAUGCCGUAAACGAUGACUACU
rnacentral:rRNA from 1 species